rnacentral:rRNA from 1 species
CUGGAGGACAGGUGGCUGCAUGGCUGUCGUCAGCUCGUGUCGUGAGAUGUUGGGUUAAGUCCCGCAACGAGCGCAACCCUUGCCUUUAGUUGCCAGCAGUUCGGCUGGGCACUCUAAAGGGACUGCCGGUGUUAAACCGGAGGAAGGUGGGGAUGACGUCAAGUCCUCAUGGCCUUUAUGACCAGGGCUACACACGUACUACAAUGGCCGAUACAAAGGGCAGCGACACUGCGAGGUGAAGCCAAUCCCGUAAAAUCGGUCUCAGUCCGGAUUGGAGUCUGCAACUCGACUCCAUGAAGUUGGAAUCGCUAGUAAUCGUGGAUCAGCAUGCCACGGUGAAUACGUUCCCGGGCCUU